rnacentral:sRNA from 1 species
AGCCAGCUCUUCUCUGCCCUGCUUCCUGCCACUCGGCCCCAUCUCCUGCAGUCCUGAUGGAGGACUGACCCACUCUGCCCUGCGUCCGUCCCACCUCCUGACCCCUCAUUCUCACUUCCCUGGGCCUUUGUAUUUUGUAAAGUCCAGCUACAAACCAGAGUUGUGCCAUUCUGCCCAGGAUCUGCCCUUGGUUGGAGCCCUUCAUUCCUGCUUGCCACACCCUGCUCACUUCUGCCAAGAACUGUCCUAGGAAGCCUGCAGACUUGUCGUGACCCCUAGGCUUGUGGCUUAGCCAAAGACACCCCCCUAGUUCAUUGGGCAUUCCAUAGACUCAAACACAUUUUGGGAAACACCUCCCCUGCCAAGAAGAGAGCUAUGCCGUCUCCCGAGGUGCUCCCUUGCUAACGUGUGACGUUGGCCCCAGAGGUCCAGGCAGAGAGGAAGGAUGAUAGUCAUCCAGUCCACGUGGACAACUGCAUCCUGAAUGCCGAGACCCUCGUGUGUGUCAAAGAGCCCCCAGCCUACACCUUCCGGGAUUACAGCGCCAUCCUUUACCUAAAUGGGGACUUCGAUGGCGGAAACU